rnacentral:rRNA from 1 species
CCUACGGGGGGCAGCAGUGAGGAAUAUUGGUCAAUGGACGAGAGUCUGAACCAGCCAAGUAGCGUGAAGGAUGACUGCCCUAUGGGUUGUAAACUUCUUUUAUAUGGGAAUAAAAUGUUCCACGUGUGGGAUUUUGUAUGUACCUUAUGAAUAAGGAUCGGCUAACUCCGUGCCAGCAGCCGCGGUAAUACGGAGGAUCCGAGCGUUAUCCGGAUUUAUUGGGUUUAAAGGGAGCGUAGGUGGAUUGUUAAGUCAGUUGUGAAAGUUUGCGGCUCAACCGUAAAAUUGCAGUUGAUACUGGCAGUCUUGAGUACAGUAGAGGUAGGCGGAAUUCGUGGUGUAGCGGUGAAAUGCUUAGAUAUCACGAAGAACUCCGAUUGCGAAGGCAGUUCACUGGACUGCAACUGACACUGAGGCUCGAAAGUGUGGGUAUCAAACAGGAUUAGAUACCCGAGUAGUC